UCUGGCCACUUGAAUGGCUCUGCAGAGCUGGA
rnacentral:piRNA from 1 species